GCCUUCUCUCAACUGGUUAAGAGCAUGGGGCUGAUAACACCAAGGUCGCGGGUUCGAUCCCCAUAUGGGGCA